UCAGUUGUUGGCAAUUAAUGGUCAUAUGUUGGCAACCCAUUUAACUGGGCCAAGCUGCCAACGUGUUUCCAGGCGAGCACAAUUCAAAGGCACUGAAAGAAAUUUAACAAAAAAUGGUGUUUCAUUAAAAAGAUAUUUAUGGAAAAUAUUAAAAAAUAUUAUUUAAUAUUUCUAAGGGCUUAAAGUGGCUUAUAAAGUGGUCUAUUUAUUAAAGAAAUUAAAGAUUCUCUAGUUCUUAGCUACUCACUCAGCUAUCGAUAUCCGGUACUUCUCCUUGGCUUUUAGGUUAGAAUUUCUAACUAUAUUAGCUUUAAAAUAAAAAAAAAAUAUUUUUUGAAAGCGACACUUAAGAAAAAAUGCUAGAAAAUAUUAUAAAAUAUUUCUAAAGGCUUAAAAGGGCUUCAAGUUGUUUAUAAAAUUGUAAUUUAUUUAAAGGAUAUAUGAUACUCGGUACUAUUCCUUGGGUUCUAAGUUAGAAAAAUAUUUUAAAAAUAUUAUAAAAUAUUUGUCAAGGCUUAAAAUGGCUUACAAAAUGGUAUAUUUGUUAUAGAAAGCCUUUCAUUCUUAGUUACUCCAUUAACUAUAUAAUACCCGGUACUCCUCCUUGGGUUCAAAGUUAGAAUUUCUAACUCUAUAAGGUUUUAAAAGGUAAUAAAUGGUAUUUUAUGAAAGAAAUAUUGUAGAAAAAAUAUUCGAAAAUAUUUAUAUAGGCCUAUAAGGGAUAAGAAAAGGCUUAACCUGGCUUAUAAAGUUGUAUUUUUUAUUAAGAAAAGCCUUUGAUUCUUAGUUACUCCCUCAAUUAUAUGAUACCCGGUACUUCCAAGUUAGAACUUCCCGCUCUCAAAGCUCUAAACUGCCUAAAAAACAGUUCCUGAAACACAUACAUAAUUUGUAGCAAUGCAUCCUUUUCUCUUUGGUCCUGGAACCAUCCAUCUAUCACAUCAAAGUGACGGAAAAUAAACGCAGAGAGAGGCAGACAUUCAAUUAAGGCGGUACAAGCAGCACAAGUGUUUAUUUUUUCCAAAGGAGCCACUGCCAGUGUGGCCAAGUGGCCAGUUUCCAUUGGCCAGUGGUCCUUUCAAUUAAAGCUAGAAUAUGGAGAGUUUUUUAGUUAAAACUUUAAAAUACUAGAAAAUAUUUAAUAAAUAUAAUAUAAUAGAGUCAGGACUCUUCUCUCCACUCUUUCCUAAUUAAUUUAAUCCUUUAACCAAAAAAAAAAAUGUGAAAAUAAAUUGCCAACAAUUUGGGAAUUGUGGAUUUUUGGGGCUUUUCAUGAAACACAUUUUUUGACUUCUCACCUCUGACCUCUGACCGCAAUGCCAGGGAAAUAAAUAAUAAAAAUAUCACAAAACAGGCUGCAUAUUUUUAAUUUCCGCAAAAGGAUCAAGCCAGGAUAAUGCAGCUUCCAUAAAUAAUGAUUGGCAAAUUAUGAAAAUGGCCAGAAAACAAUGAGCCAUGGCCAGAAACAAAAAUUAAUUUCAUUCUGAUAAUAAAAAUCAGGUUGUCCUUGAAAUCAAUUUAAUGAAAAAUAUAUAUCCUUCCGACAUUUAAUUAAUCAACAAAAAUAGUUUGCUUGCCGCUCCAUUAAAAGGCCAAAAGCAAUUAACCAAGUUGGCCUGGCCCAGUCUGAGUCCUGGCCAGGACCCAUUGUCUCAGAAGAGAGAGUAUUUGACAAAAAAAAAAAGAAUAAAAGGUGAAUGCAAAUUGCUGAGCCAUCUAAUAAGGCGCUUAAUGCAAUUAAAACAGGGUCUGCCCAGUCGGACUUUUUGGUGCAUGCAUCGUGCCGCAGUCGCCUGACGCGCGCUUUUUUGCACCGUUUUCCGCUUGCAUGCAGACAUCAAGGAAAUUUUUUCCCUUUUCAAAGCAAUUGCUCUGAAAAAAAGGGGACUUAGAAAAUUUUCAUCUCGUUUGGGACUUAGAAAAAUUUUUGCGUGGGACAUUUAACUUAGAAAAAAUUUAUUCAUGCCAAAUUAUUAAUAUUAUAUUUUAUAUUAUUCAUUGAAUACUUUUAAGUUAUAGAAGUGUCAAUUUAAACAAAUUGUUUAAAUACAAAAUAAAAACAAAAAAUUUUAAAUUGAACUAAAAUAGUUUAAUUUUAUUAUUAAAAUAAAAAAUAAAGGAGUAAAAACAAAAGUUACACACCUCAAGCAAAAAAAAAAAAUUGAAUAAUAAUGUAAAUCUUAAAAAUAAAUACAUUUCUUAAUAGUGAAUUGUGUAAAUACAGAAAACAAAAAAAUAUAAUAUAAAAAAUGGGUGAAAGGGUUGCCAUCGCGUGGGCGAUAUUUUUCUAAGUGCGGGAAUCGAUAGUAGCUUUAAAGUAUGGCAACUCCCCCACCCUAUUUAUUCUAGUGCAUUUAGUUGAAUUGAACGUGUUGAAUUGCAUUUUAACAAAAGAAAUAAUCAACAAGGAGUGAUUUUUCCACCUACGACGACUUCAUUAGGGCCAUCCGGGAUGGAAUAAGGAGAGCCAAAAAUAAAAAUUAUAAGGAAAAAU